UAGGGAAUCUUGCGCAAUGAGGGAAACCUUGACGCAGCGACGCCGCGUGCGGGAUGAAGGCCUUCGGGUUGUAAACCGCUUUCAGCAGGGACGAAAUUGACGGUACCUGCAGAAGAAGGCCCGGCCAACUACGUGCCAGCAGCCGCGGUAAUACGUAGGGGCCUAGCGUUGUCCGGAUUUAUUGGGCGUAAAGAGCUCGUAGGCGGUUCGGUAAGUCAGGUGUGAAAUCUCCACGCUCAACGUGGAGGCGCCACCUGAAACUGCCGUGACUCGAGUCCGGUAGGGGAGUGUGGAAUUCCUGGUGUAGCGGUGAAAUGCGCAGAUAUCAGGAGGAACACCAGUGGCGAAGGCGGCACUCUGGGCCGGUACUGACGCUGAGGAGCGAAAGCGUGGGGAGCGAACA
rnacentral:rRNA from 1 species